GACGAACGCUGGCGGCGUGCCUAAUACAUGCAAGUAGAACGCACAGUUUAUACCGUAGCUUGCUACACCAUAGACUGUGAGUUGCGAACGGGUGAGUAACGCGUAGGUAACCUGCCUGGUAGCGGGGGAUAACUAUUGGAAACGAUAGCUAAUACCGCAUAAUAUUAAUUAUUGCAUGAUAAUUAAUUGAAAGGUGCAAUUGCACCACUACCAGAUGGACCUGCGUUGUAUUAGCUAGUAGGUGAGGUAACGGCUCACCUAGGCGACGAUACAUAGCCGACCUGAGAUGGUGAUCGGCCACACUGGGACUGAGACACGGCCCAGACGCCUACGGGAGGCAGCAGUAGGGAAUCUUCGGCAAUGGACGAAAGUCUGACCGAGCAACGCCGCGUGAGUGAAGAAGGGUUUCGGAUCGUAAAGCUCUGUUGUAAGAGAAGAACGGGUGUGAGAGUGGAAAGUUCACACUGUGACGGUAUCUUACCAGAAAGGGACGGCUAACUACGUG
rnacentral:rRNA from 1 species